UUUGUCAGAACGGGCAGUCUGUUCAAAUGAGACGGUCAGACCAUCAACCCAAAAACCGGUGAUCAAAACAGUUCUAUUUCUGGGUCGUUUUUUAGAGUCGUUCUGUGGACGAGUGCACCUUCCAAUGAGAGACAAACACGUCAUUUCAUCUGUAUUAACCACGAAUUAAGGGAGACUUUCUCCGUUACCAGUCGUUCGGCUGGUUGAACCGACCACAAAACACGGUUUAGCUUUCUCUUUCAUCGGCAAUAAACACCAACCGGCGCCGGUGGCAACCAACUGGGGAUUCAGCCGGGCACGACGAUGAUGUGUUAAGAGACAUGGUUAUAAGCUUCAUAAUGGCGGGGAGAGACACAACAUCGGCGGCAAUGACGUGGCUCUUCUGGUCGCUUUCCCGACAUCCCAAUAGUGAGAAAGAUGUGGUGAAGGAAGUAGUCACGACACUUGGCAACAACGGGCAGAAAUCGUUGGAUUACGAAGCUCUGAAAGACUUGCCUUUGUUUAAAGCUUGCCUCUCCGAUGGCCUGGUACUCGAAGCACUCCCCCACCCGCGCAAUGCUCCCAAAAGAAAAAGGCAAAACUGCAGAAAAAGGCAAAAAGCAGGGAGCGAGUGAAAACGAAGGUCAUCAUCAACAUAAGCAGAUGCCACUGUUCAUCUCACUAAGCCGAUCCAGAGAGAGAGAGAGACAGCGAUGGCGGUCUCCGUCUCAUUUUUGGCCAUCGUCACGUCCCUCCAUCUUGUCACCUUCGUCCUCGCUGUAGACGCCGAACGUUGUCAGAGCACAGGUAAGGUGCAACCGGAUGAGUACGAUGAGCGCACGUUCUCCGUAUACGAUUCGGAUGUGUCGACGGUGUACGGACUGACGGCGUUUGGUCUUUUGUUGAUUAGUCAAUUUUUUGUUAGCUGCAUUACGAAAUGCUCUGCUUUGGGAGAGGGCUCAUGAGCGGGAGGAGCUCCACCGCCUGUGCCAUAUUCUUCUUUGUAUUUUCCUGGGUGAAGGCCAAAUCGGACUCAUUCUUCUUCACUGAGUUUGCAAGGAAGAAGGAGGAGGAGGAGCAGCAUCUGUACAGUGAAAUUUCAAUGAUGUAAUUUCAUGUCCAGAGAUCUAAUUUCUUGCCAUAGACGCCGACUGUACCGUGGAAUGGCCUAACGGGUAGGGUUCAAAUCAUCCAGCCAACACAAGAAGAAGAGGAGGGAGAGGAAGAGGAAGAAGAAGACGUACGGACUAGAGGCCGGAUGAUUUAUCCCUGCCGCCGGUGGCUUCGUCGUUCACUGGGGCACCGGUGAGCUUGUCACUGUUGGACGUGUGGGAGUUCGAACUUGUGUGAAGAGAAAAUGAAAGAUUUUGUCUUUUUGCGUGUGAUUGAAUCGGAUGAAAUCAAUUGACGGUCAAACCUUCGUUACCCUUACACAGCUUACGUUCGUUCGACACGUGGCCAAAUAUGAUUGGAAGGUGCACUCGUCCACUGCACCCAUGGGUGCACAGAACCGGUCUCCAUCUGCAUCAAAUGUCCUAGGGAUGAUGGGAGAGUGUUCUUCUCCUCUAUUGUGAGUUGUGACUUGUGAAGGUGGGGAGGACUCCCACUCCCAGGAUUUAAAAUUUUAAAUGAGUGUUUGAAGAGAAAUCAAUUUCCACAGACAUUUAAGGUUUCCAAUCUUUUUACUUC